AGCGAACGCUGGCGGCAGGCCUAACACAUGCAAGUCGAACGAACUCUUCGGAGUUAGUGGCGGACGGGGUGAGUAACACGUGGGAACGUGCCUUUUGGUUCGGAAUAACUCAGGGAAACUUGUGCUAAUACCGAAUGUGCCCUUGGGGAAAGAUUUAUCGCCAUUAGAGCGGCCCGCGUCUGAUUAGCUAGUUGGUGAGG
rnacentral:rRNA from 1 species